AUCUUCAGUGAGUCAACCCAUCCUUGUUCCCUGGCCAUUAUUGAUUGAAGAAGACAAACUUGAUGUGAGGGAGGCCAAGUACCUUGAGAAGACUUGGCAAAAUCUCUGCCCAACAGAGGCACACAGAGAGGAGGAGACAGUGGAGGCUGUCCACUCAGUGUCACUAAAAUAGUCUCAGAGUCAUUUGCUGCUACCUCUCCUAUCAUCAGCAACUCUUAUGAACAAGUCACAGAGGAUGUGCAAGCGAAGCAUGCCAGAGAUUGAAAAUUAAAAAUGGAAUGCUAUCAAUGAUCCUUGACUUCUGAUCCAAUAGCUUUUUGCUAAAGCUGUUUUCAUAGGUUUCAGUGCAAUAUCUGGC
rnacentral:lncRNA from 1 species